AAUUACAAAGGGAUAAGAUUGAAAGGCAGGAAACCAACUACGAGUCCACGGUAAAAGUUGAGAUGAGCUAUAAAGAUGCUCAAGAAGAAUGACAGAGAAACUGAUGGAAACAAGACUUACAAGUCAAUAAAUGUCCCAAAAGUCUACUCCCAAGACCUAUCAGCUUGACUAAGAAUCUGGAAAACUUGCUUUCUCAUCCGCUCAUUCUCCACGCACAUUUGUCAAAAGCCUCCUAUGACUCAGCUUCCCGCCAGGUACUAUAGUGGAGAAUGCAACAAACGUUCCUUGCAGCUAGGGAGGUGGACACCUUUCUAAUCCUGGACGCUCAAAGUGCUGCUGUGACAAAAUGAUGCUGAUCCGUGAAGUUCAAGUGAAGCCCAGAUUAUGAGGUCACCAAUCUGCCACAUGGCCUACCCAUGCACCCAGUUCUUACCCCUCCAGAUAAGUGCAGGAGCUCCUCCUUUAUUUCAUUCCAGAUGAUAACGUUCUUUCUUAGGAAGGAAUCAUGAGGGGAAUUUUUGGUGUUUUCCUCAGUUGGAUGUCUUCUGUGCUACAUCCACCAAAACUUUUGCAAAAUUUCCCAUAAUUUUGUUGGGCCAUUUCCCUAGCUUUCAGUUCCUCCCUGCCGACUGCAUACCUUUGUUAUUUCUUUAAUAGGGACUUGGCUAGAGAUGGAGUGGAGAGUUUAAAAAGAGUUUAAGAGGAGAUAGAUGUCUAUGCUCACACUGAUGUCAAAUCCAAAUAUCUGGGAGUCAGGUUUAGUAGAUACACCUUGCUGUACUUUUGCCUGUGCCUUAUCUGUUAAAAGGUACCCUUGUUUGCAGGGAAGGAUCUAUCUGUGCGUGGCACAUGGUCCAAGUCAACAAUAGUCAGUGUUUUCAGGUGAACACAUAUAGGAGUGCCCUCCUCUCAAUAUGUAGACUCAUUGAAUAAACACAAAAGAGCUACCAAACUUAGGGGGGAAAAUACCAUUUGGACCCCAUUGAGGCAAAUAUUUUUUUUUCUUUUUUUACUGUAAGUUUAGCUAGCAUAUGAAACAAGUACUUCUGUAUUUAAAAGAAAACAGAGAAAUACAUGAAUGAUGGAUUAAUUAAUUGAUUUAAAAACUAUUAAAAUGUGUGCCAAACUAAAAGCUAAGGUAACAAAUUAGUGAAGAUCUUUACUGUCCUCCUGUGAUAUUUCUUUGUUGGGAGGUGGAGAGGUCAGAGAUGGUAUUAAAGUAACCUACAUUGUUUUUGUGGUUUAAAAUUAUUCUACAACUCAUGAA